rnacentral:rRNA from 1 species
UACAGAGGGGGCAAGCGUUGUUCGGAAUUACUGGGCGUAAAGGGCGCGUAGGCGGCCCGCUAAGUCGAACGUGAAAUCCCCGAGCUCAACUCGGGAACUGCGUCCGAUACUGGUGGGCUUGAAUCCGGGAGAGGGAUGCGGAAUUCCAGGUGUAGCGGUGAAAUGCGUAGAUAUCUGGAGGAACACCGAUGGCGAAGGCAGGUCUCUGGGCCACUACUGACGCUGAGAAGCGAAAGCAUGGGGAGCGAACAGG